rnacentral:rRNA from 1 species
UACGUAGGCAGCAAGCGUUGUUCGGAGUUACUGGGCGUAAAGGGUGCGUAGGCGGCUUUUUAAGUUUGGUGUGAAAUCUCCCGGCUCAACUGGGAGGGUGCGCCGAAUACUGAGAGGCUAGAGUGUGGGAGAGGAAAGUGGAAUUCCUGGUGUAGCGGUGAAAAUGCGUAGAUAUCAGGAGGAACACCGGUGGCGAAGGCGGCUACCUGGACAGAAACUGACGCUGAGGCGCGAAAGCUAGGGGGAGCAAACAGG